GCCUCCAUAGCUCAGGGGUUAGUCUUGUAAACCAGGGGUCGAGAGUUCAAAUCUCUCUGAGGGCA
rnacentral:tRNA from 1 species